UACACUGUCACCUGUCCCUCUUAUAGCAGCAAAAAGCCAGUUUCUUCUCCAUCUCACAGGCUCUUCGAUAUCUGAUUUUAACGUAUUAAAGCUAAUAUAGCCUUUGGGUCCAAAAUAAUCUAACCCCAAUUAUUAUUUUAGCAAUGAGCAGCUGAUUGUUCUGGGCUGAUAACUAGUCUGCCUCUAUGUAUUCAAAAGAAAAUUCUGUUUUUUUUUUUUUUUUUUUAUCUGUUUCAUAAUAGGCCUAACUAAUCAUAGCCGGCAAACCUACCCUCGAGCCUAACUUUCAAGAUAUACUAAAUUUCUCUGAAUUUGUAGAUGUCUGCCUAUGAGUGAUGGAUAUGGUCAGGUAGCUAUUUCCACUGCUUGCUGAUUUUAGUCUGAUUUUAGCUAUUUGGUUUUCAAUUGACUGCAAUCUGCUGUUUAUUAAAUAAACACCAAUAUCUUUGUUAAUCCUUAAAGGUCCACCAGGGCCAGACUGGCCCACCGGGAUACCGGGAAAUUUCCCGGUGGGCCGUCGGCACCUGGGGCCGGG